GGGACUUCCGGCGGAAAUUUCUUCCGGGAGCGGAGGCGCGGGACUGACCUGGCCCCGCCCCCUCCUCGUUUCUCUCCAAUUGACCAAUCACAGCUCCGCUUCUUGCCAGGCGCGUAGGCUCAUUCUCCAGUCAGCGACUGCCGUCGUCUCUCGGGCAACAGCGUCCUAGAGACGCCGAAUGGGCAGCCCCUCUGAGACCCCGCGGCUUGGGGUCCGCGCACGCGGGUGCCGGCCCAGCUAGGCGGAGAAUCGAGGAGGGGUCCCCGGGCUCAUCACAGAGGAUUGGAAGGGCCUAGAUUACUGCCCAAUGACAAAAGUGCGGGCUUAAUGUCCUCACUCUUCAGGGAGAGAAUGUGGACUUUAGCAUUUGAACUGAAUAUUUGAGAUUGAAGAUUUCUGAAUAGGAUUUAAUGUGCAAAAUGGCGAUUAUACCGGACUGGCUUAGGUCGCAUCCUCACACACGAAAAUUUACACAUUCAAGACCCCAUUCUUCACCGUGUAGAGUAUAUUCAAGGAAUGGCUCCCCAAAUAAGUUCAGAUCUUCUUCAACCACAGCUGUUGCAAAUCCAACACUGUCCUCCUUAGAUGUUAAACGGAUUUUAUUUCAAAAAAUUACCGACAGAGGGGAUGAGUUGCAAAAAGCCUUUCAGCUGCUGGAUACUGGUCAGAACUUGACUGUGUCAAAAAGUGAACUGAGAAGAAUCAUCACAGACUUCCUGAUGCCGCUCACACGAGAACAGUUUCAGGACGUGUUGGCUCAGAUCCCCCUUAGCACCUCUGGUACUGUACCGUACCUUGCCUUUCUGUCCAGGUUUGGUGGAAUUGACCUAUAUAUAAAUGGUAUAAAGAGGGGAGAUGGGAAUGAAAUGAAUUGCUGCCGCACAUUAAGAGAACUUGAAAUCCAAGUGGGAGAAAAGGUUUUCAAAAACAUUAAGACUGUUAUGAAAGCCUUUGAGCUCAUUGAUGUUAACAAGACUGGACUGGUUCGACCGCAGGAGCUAAGAAGGGUUCUGGAGACCUUCUGUUUGAAGUUAAGAGACAAGGAAUACGAAAAGUUUUCGAAACACUACAACAUCCACAAGGAUACUGCAGUAGAUUACAACGUGUUUUUGAAGAAUCUCAGCAUAAAUAAUGACUUGAACCUUAGAUAUUGUAUGGGAAAUCAAGAGGUCUCAUUGGAGAAUCAACAAGCCAAAAAUUCCAAAAAGGAGCGUUUGCUAGGUUCUGCAUCAUCUGAAGAUAUCUGGAGAAACUACUCCUUGGAUGAAAUUGAGAGGAACUUUUGUCUACAACUUUCGAAGUCUUAUGAAAAGGUUGAAAAGGCCCUCAGUGCAGGGGACCCCUGUAAAGGUGGCUACGUGUCUUUUAAUUAUCUAAAGAUUGUCCUCGACACUUUUGUAUACCAAAUACCAAGAAGAAUUUUUAUCCAGUUAAUGAAAAGAUUUGGACUUAAAGCCACCACUAAAAUCAAUUGGAAGCAAUUUCUAACAUCAUUUCAUGAGCCUCAGGGGUUGCAAGUUAGCAGUAAAGGUCCCCUGACAAAAAGAAAUAGCAUCAACUCUAGAAAUGAAUCUCGCAAGGAAAACAUCAUCACAAAGUUAUUUAGACACACUGAAGAUCGCUCUGCAUCACUGAAGAAAGCAUUACUGAUAAUCAACACUAAACCCGAUGGACCGAUAACAAGAGAAGAAUUUCGAUAUAUUCUAAAUUGCGUGGCUGUAAAACUAAGCGAUUCAGAAUUCAAAGAACUAAUGCAAAUGCUUGACCCUGGGGACACUGGAGUGGUCAACACCAGCAUGUUUAUUGAUCUGAUUGAAGAGAACUGUAGGAUGAGAAAGACAUCUCCCUGUACAGAUGCUAAGACACCUUUCCUCCUGGCCUGGGAUUCAGUGGAAGAAAUUGUUCAUGAUACAAUUACUAGGAACCUACAAGCUUUUUAUAACAUGCUACGCUCAUAUGACCUUGGAGACACAGGGCGCAUUGGCCGAAAUAAUUUCAAGAAAAUCAUGCACGUCUUCUGUCCAUUUUUAACGAAUGCACAUUUCAUAAAACUCUGCAGUAAGAUUCAGGACAUUGGUUCAGGAAGAAUCCUUUACAAGAAACUUUUGGCACGCAUAGGAAUUGAUGGCCCACCCACUGUCUCUCCAGUUCUUGUUCCAAAGGAUCAGCUGUUACAUGAACAUUUACAAAAAGAUGAACAGCAGCAGCCAGAUCUUUCUGAGAGAACCAAGCUCACGGAGGAUAAAACCACCCUGACCGAGAAGAUGACCACAGAAGAAGUGAUUGAAAAAUUCAAAAAGUGUAUACAGCAGCAGGACCCGGCAUUCAAAAAACGAUUUCUUGACUUCAGCAAGGAGCCUAAUGGAAAAAUUAACGUGCAUGACUUUAAGAAGGUACUGGAAGACACUGGGAUGCCCAUGGACGAUGAUCAGUAUGCCCUGCUGACCACUAAAAUAGGCUUCGAGAAGGAAGGGAUGAGCUAUCUUGAUUUUUCAGCAGGAUUUGAAGAUCCUCCAAUGAGAGGGCCGGAAACCACUCCGCCGCAGCCUCCAACUCCUUCAAAAAGUUACGUGAACAGCCACUUUAUCACCGCAGAAGAAUGCCUGAAGCUUUUCCCCAGGAGGCUGAAGGAGUCAUUCCGGGACCCCUACUCUGCCUUCUUUAAAACAGAUGCUGACAGGGAUGGCAUAAUCAACAUGCAUGACCUUCACAGACUGCUCCUGCAUCUACUGCUUAAUCUCAAAGACGACGAGUUUGAGCGCUUCCUUGGCCUUCUUGGCCUGAGACUUAGUGUCACUUUAAAUUUUCGGGAAUUUCAAAAUUUGUGUGAGAAGAGACCAUGGAGAACAGAUGAAGCGCCUCAAAGACUCAUUAGACCAAAACAGAAGGUUGCGGAUUCAGAACUAGCUUGUGAGCAGGCUCAUCAGUAUCUUGUUACCAAAGCAAAAAACAGAUGGUCAGACUUGUCUAAGAAUUUUCUAGAAACCGAUAAUGAGGGCAAUGGCAUUCUUCGACGCCGGGACAUAAAGAACGCACUGUACGGUUUUGAUAUUCCCCUCACACCAAGAGAGUUUGAAAAGCUUUGGGCAAGAUACGACACCGAGGGAAAAGGGCACAUUACUUACCAGGAAUUUUUACAGAAAUUGGGUAUUAACUAUUCGCCUGCUGUCCAUCAGCCCUGUGCAGAGGAUUAUUUCAACUUCAUGGGUCAUUUUACAAAGCCACAGCAGCUACAGGAAGAGAUGAAGGAGCUGCAGCAGAGCACAGAGAAGGCUGUGGCAGCCAGGGAUAAGCUUAUGGACCGCCAUCAAGAUAUCAGCAAAGCAUUCACCAAAACUGAUCAAUCCAAAACCAACUACAUAUCCAUAUGCAAGAUGCAGGAAGUGCUGGAAGAAUGUGGCUGUUCUCUUACCGAAGGGGAGCUGACCCGUCUGCUAAACAGUUGGGGAGUCAGCCGGCAUGAUAAUGCUAUCAAUUACCUCGACUUCCUGAGAGCAGUGGAGAACAGCAAGUCAACAGGAGCUCAGCCCAAGGAAAAAGAAGAGAGCAUGCCAAUCAGUUUUGCAACGCUGAAUCCACAGGAGGUUGUGAGGAAGAUCCAAGAAGUAGUUGAGUCCUCCCAGCUGGCUUUGUCCACGGCAUUUUCUGCAUUGGAUAAAGAGGAUACAGGAUUUGUAAAGGCUACAGAAUUCGGACAAGUUCUUAAGGAUUUCUGUUACAAACUAACGGACAAUCAGUAUCAUUAUUUUUUGAGGAAACUAAGAAUUCAUCUAACCCCCUGUAUAAAUUGGAAAUAUUUUCUCCAGAACUUUAGCUGUUUCCUUGAGGAGACAGCUGAUGAGUGGGCUGAGAAAAUGCCCAAAGGCCCGCCGCCUACCUCUCCCAAGGCCACAGCCGACAGAGACAUCCUGGCUCGCCUCCACAAAGCAGUGACUUCCCAUUACCAUGCCAUCACCCAGGAGUUUGAGAAUUUUGACACCAUGAAAACGAACACCAUCUCCAGAGAGGAGUUUAGGGCCAUUUGUAAUCGCCACGUCCAAAUCCUGACGGACGAACAGUUUGACAGACUCUGGAACGAGAUGCCAGUCAAUGCCAAGGGGAGGCUGAAAUACCCGGACUUCCUGAGCAGGUUCAGUUCCGAGACAGCAGCCACACCAAUGGCCACUGGUGACUCGGCCGUGGCCCAGAGAGGGAGCAGUGUCCCCGACAUCUCGGAAGGCACCAGAUCUGCCCUCUCAUUGCCCACUCAGGAGCUGAGACCAGGGUCAAAGUCGCAGAGCCACCCCUGUACUCCAGCGAGCACCACCGUGAUCCCGGGCACUCCACCCUUGCAGAACUGUGAUCCCAUAGAGAGCAGGCUCCGGAAGAGAAUCCAGGGCUGCUGGCGCCAGCUCCUGAAAGAAUGCAAGGAGAAGGACGUGGCCAGACAGGGGGACAUCAACGCCUCCGAUUUCCUGGCUCUUGUGGAGAAAUUCAACCUGAACAUAAGCAAAGAGGAGUGUCAGCAGCUCAUUAUAAAAUACGACUUAAAGAACAACGGGAAAUUUGCAUACUGUGACUUCAUUCAGAGCUGUGUCCUCCUGCUAAAAGCAAAGGAAAGUUCACUGAUGCACAGGAUGAAGAUCCAGAAUGCACACAAAAUGAAAGAAGCCGGCGCGGAGACGCCAUCUUUUUACUCUGCUCUGCUGCGUAUUCAGCCCAAAAUUGUGCACUGCUGGAGGCCAAUGCGGCGCACGUUCAAAAGCUAUGAUGAGGCUGGAACGGGGCUGCUAAGCGUCGCGGAUUUCAGGACGGUGAGCACAGCUCUGCGCCCAGCGCCUCUGCAGGGAGCAGCUGCCAAAUGCCAGUGGCCAGAAACUUCCCACGGGGAGCCCUCUACCCGCCGCCGAAGGCCCGGUGUGACCUGGCUGCUUCAGAUCUCACUUCCCUGGGACCCCCAAGUUAUCCAGUCCUGGGUCCACUCGCCUCACCUUCAGACCCCGGGUUCUCCUUCCCAAAGGUUGCUGGAGCCCUGCGUGGAUGCCCCAUACCUCCAUCGCCAGCUCCUCAGGGUCAGUGCCUGAGCCCAGAUUCCUUAAGGCACUGCCAUCGCUGCUGCUGCUGCUCCGAGCCCUCUCUCCACAUCUGGGCUCUCCUGCAGGCUCUGAAGAGCAUCUCUGACCUAUACUGGACCUUCCAAGGGGCCUGCAAAGUCCUGAGACAGUACAGCAUCAACCUCUCUGAGGAAGAGUUCUUCCAUAUUCUGGAGUAUUACGAUAAGACGCUGUCUUCAAAAAUCUCCUACAACGACUUCCUCCGGGCAUUCCUCCAGUAGACACCCCUGCUGUGUGCCCAGCGGGACGAAAGCCACAGGGCCUGUUUCAAGACUAAUAAAAUCCUAUAAUUUGGGGGUUUCA